UCUAAUAUGGCAGAGUAGUGCAAUGAACUUAAAAUUCGUAUAUAAAUUAAUAUGUUUUUUUAGAA
rnacentral:tRNA from 1 species